rnacentral:rRNA from 1 species
UACGUAGGGUCCGAGCGUUGUCCGGAAUUACUGGGCGUAAAGCGCGCGCAGGCGGCCCGCGAGGUGUCACGUGAAAGCCCCGGGCUCAACCCGGGAGGGUCGUGGCAAACCGGCGGGCUUGAGGCCGGUAGAGGUGGGUGGAACUCCUGGUGGAGUGGUGAAAUGCGUAGAGAUCAGGAAGAACACCCGUGGCGAAGGCGGCCAACUGGACCAUUACUGACGCUGAGGCGCGAAAGCGUGGGGAGCAAACAGG